rnacentral:lncRNA from 1 species
AUGUUGUUGGAUGGCACCAGUAUGUGACGUUCCUAGGAACUUAGCUCUGAGGAAAAAACAAAGCAAACCGGGGAAGUACGUAGCCUUGAACCGGAGUAACCAGGGACAGAAAGGAAGGAAAAGGGUUUCAUACCUUCACGGAACGACGCUCACUUCGUCCGCCUGAGGAGGAAAAAUAAGUUUAAACCUUUCUGUGAAAAAGAACGUGGAGCCCUUUCUGCCGAAUGGAAACCCGCUAAACCCCGUUAUGGAGUCUGCUACAAUUAAGCAUCUAACCAGGAAUUGUCUAUGGACACAACUCUCCAGGCAAUUCAUGCAGAAAGUGUGUUGACGAUUUCCUGUUUCUUGCAGAGCGCUUCACCGUUAAGGCUCUUAGUAGCUGGCGAUUGUAAAGCACAUUUUCCGCUUCAUGAAAAUACAGUGCUCUUCUUGUGUUUGUAACCUUGGAAAAAGUCAGACCUGCACCACAGUCUGAAGUCUCUCUGCCAAUUCCUGAGCCUUCCCACUUUAUCCUUCACAAACAUUUCCCCCAAUAAAUAUCUUGCAUGUCUAAUCCCUUCUUGGCAUCUGCUUCUCUGAGGACCAGAACAGACAGGUGGUUUACCAAGUGGUGCAAGAAAACAGAUAGUAAGAUGGGUUUUGGGCAAUGGCUUACUUGGUCCCUGGCACAAAGCAGCCAUCUGAGUCCUGAUUUAGCCAGCAGUGACCUAGGAAAACAUCCCAGAGAAGGGAAAUCCUCUUGCUCGUGCAAUUUAGGCAUUUAAAAGAUAUGGGGAAUACGAUGCCUACAAAGAAAGCAGAGCUGGCCAACUGUUACUAAGACAAGUAAUGCCUUGCAGAUGGAUAAUGAGAAACCGAGAGCACUUAAACAGUUAAAGGCUAAGUGUGGGAGCCGGGGGCUUCUCUGGAGCUUAACAAACUUUUAUUUCCUGCAGUGGAAGAGCAGAAAUGGGAUUGGAUGGUCACAGAGCUCUAAAGAUAUUUGAAUGCUCAGCCUAGGGAGAUCCAGUAUGUAGUCAGGGCGCUGGUUGGGGAAACCAGCCUGAAGCUUUGAAACAUGGAAUGGGUGCCCCUGAGGAUUUUGGCUCUGUAGAUACCUCUGGACACUCAAGAGCUUACAGAACUGGCUCAUACUUCCUAGUAAGAGCAAGCACUUCCCUCAUUACAGAAAGACCUCUUCCAUAAUUGUUCUCAGUUUUUCUCCUGGCUGCCAAGCCAUGGUAACUGGAGUUAACAUCUCAGCAUAAUCUGCCUAGGAACUGCUGGCCCUGAUAAGAAAGGAAAGAUUACACACCGAAGGAAUUGAAAUAAGUUACCAUGACUAUCAGGAGCCAGAGAAGUAUACUUAGGAUUGGAUUUUAAGGGUGUUCAAUUAAGGGGGCUGGAAUUUAAGACAACAUAAGCAAGACUUCAUGGACUUGGGGUACUUUUUUGGGACAGAUUUAACCUCAGCAAGUAGUCCCGAGGUUAGCUUUUCAAAGCCUGGAAAAGGUGAUGGCUUUGAAAAAGUGGAAAUGAAUUCACACCAUGGCAGCUUUUAACUUGAGGAGAAGAUAGCUAUUUAUUUUGGCAUAUUUAUGUGGUUACUGCUCACUUACUAGUCCCAAUUGUUUUGUAACCACUUUUUAUUUAUUUUUUGAGAUAGUCUCAUUCUGUUUUCUAGACUGGAGUACAGUGGUGCAAUCUUGGCUCAUUGCAACCUCUACCUCUUGGGCUUAAGCCAUCCUCCCACCUCAGCCUCCUAAUUUUUGCAUUUUUUGCAGAGAUGGGGUUUCCCCAUGUCACCCAGGCUGGUCUUGAACUCCUGGACUCAAGUCAUCUGCCCAUUUUGGCCUCCCAAAGUGCUGGGAUUACAGGCGUGAGCCACCACAUCGGGACUGUUUUUUUUGUUUUUUGAGAUGGAGUCUUGCUCUUGUUGCCAAGGCUGGAGUACAAUAGCACCAUCUCAGCUUACUCCAACCUCCACCUCCCGGGUUCAAGCAAUUCUCCUGCCUCAGCCUCCCGAGUAGCUGGGAUUACAGGCACCUGCCACUACACUUGGCUAAUUUUUAUAUUUUUAGCAGAGACGGGUUUUCGCCAUGUUGGCCAGGCUGGUCUCAAACUCCUGACUUUGUGAUCCGCCCACCUCGGCCACCCAAAGUGCUGGGAUUACAGGUUUUAGCCACCAUGCCCGGCCACCUGGCCUGUUUUAUACCAAUUUAAAGUGUUUUUUUAGGCUUCACAUGGUGGUUCAUGCCUGUAAUCCCAGCACUCUGGAAGGCCAAGGUGGGAGGAUCGCUUGAGCCCAGGAGUUUGAGAUCAGCACCUGGGCAACAGAGCGAGACCUCACCUCUACUAAAAAUUAAAAAAAAAAAAAAAAUUAACCAGGCAUGGUAGUCCAUACCUGUAGUACCAGCUACUUGGGAGGCUGAGGCAGGAGGAUCCCUUGAGCCUAGGAGUUCAAGGUUGCAGUAAGCUAUGAUUAUGUCACUGCACUCCAGCCUGAGUGACAGUAAGACCCUGUCUAAAAAAUAAAUAGUGGUUUUUAGAUGAUCAUCUGCAAAUAUUUUUGUUCUUUCCCUGUAUCCCUUUUUAAUCUCAUCACAUUGAUUAGGACAUCCAGAACACUGGUGAUUCUUGUUUUGUUCCUGACUUUAAUGGCCAUGUUUCCAGUGUUGUAUACAUGUUCCUAAUUUUUGAUACAUACCACUUGUGACGUUAAGGACAUUUCCUGAUAUUCUAAACUCUCUAGGAAAUGGAUAUUGAAUUAUUAAAAAAAAAAGUCUCUUUUUAGCCUGGGCAACAUAGUGAGACCCAGUCUCUAAAAGAACAACAACAGCAAAAAAUUUGCUGGCAUGCUGGUGCAUGCUGGCAGUCCCAGCACCUCAGCAGGCUGAGGCAGGAGGAUCACUUCAGCCCAGGAGUUUGAGGCUACAGUGAACUAUGAUCCUGCCACUGCACUCCAGCCUGGGCAACAGAGCAAGACCCUGUCUCCAAAAAAAAAAAAAAAAAAAAAAGAAAAACAGGACCAUUUUUUGCAUCUGGUGACCAUAUGGUUUUCUCUUAAUAUUAUGACAAUUUAUAACUGUUCUCAUAAAUGAUAAUGAUCUAUAAAUUUUUAUGUUUGCUUUUUUUUAAUCAUCUCUUCUAGGUUAUGAGUCCUAGGCAAUUGCAUUAAAUUUUAUAACCAUAGUAUUAAAAAAACUAUUUAUAGUCAACAACUCAAGUUUGGUUUUCAUGAAACACUGGGUAUUUUUCAAUGCUUCCCAUCCCAUGCAGGAUAAAGUCAGAGUACUAAAUCUCAUAUUCUAAACUCCCACACAAUCUGACGUCUAUUUACUGGCUUCUUCAUCCAUUAAUAAAACUGUUCCUUCUCCACAAAGUGCCUUUCCCUUUAUAAUCGUCCUUUAAAGCCCAGCUCAAAUACUAACUCUCUAUAUUGAAAUCCAGUUCAAAUUCCACUUCUUAGAAACCUUCAUUUUUCCUUCUAGUUUACCUCUUCUCUUUUUAUAGCAUGACUUUUUAAAAACUUUCAUUAUAGUGCUCACCAACCUGCCUUUCAUUAAUUAGUAACUCUGUAUUAGACUAUAUUUAAGUCCCUGAAGGAAACAAACUAUUCCAUAGCAGAGUACUGUGCUCCUAAUAGGUAGUUUUAAAGUUUUUAUUACAUUAAAAUUAAUUUUGUAAAUUUCUGUUAUAUUGAAGCCUCUUGCAAUGAUCUGAGAUAUGCUUUAGAUGGCAAAACUGAGGUUGCUUUAAAUAUUACCUUUACAAAAGUCACUUAUUACCAAAUUGCCUUUUAGACCAUUUUACCUGUCUGUUGGUUGAUGACUUCAUACUCAUAUUUAAUGAGUCAGACAUCUCUCUCUUUUUUGAGACACAGUCUGGCUCUGUUGCCCAGGCUGGAGUACAGUGGGACAAUCAUAGCUCACUGCAGCCUUGAAUUACCGGGCCCAAGUGAUCCUCCUACCUGAGCCCUCAGCCUCCCAAGUAGCUGAGAUUACAGGUGCGCACCACCAUGCCAGGCUAAUUUUUUUAUUUUCUGUAGAACAAGGUGUGACCAUUUGGCCCAAGCUGGUACUGAACUCCUGGGCUCAUGUGAUCCACCCACCUUGGCCUCUCAAAGUGCUGGGAUUACAAGCCACCACACCCAGGCCAUCUUUAAACUAUUUAAAACUAUUUAAACUCUUUAAAACUAUUUUGUCCAUUGGCCAGGUAUGGUGGCUGACGCCUGUAAUCCCAGCACUUUGGAGGCUGAGGCGGGCAGAUCACAAGGUCAACAGAUUGAGACCAUCCUGGCCAACAUGGUGAAACCCCGUCUCUACUAAAAAUACAAAAAUUAGCUGGGAAUGGUGGCGUGCAGCUGUAAUCCCAGCUACUCGGGAGGCUGAGGCAGGAGAAUCGCUUGAACCUGGGAGGCGGAGGUUGCAGUGAGCCGAGAUCACACCACUGCACUCCAGCCUGGCAACAGAGCGAGACUCCAUCUCAAAAACAAAAACAACCCUAUUUUGUCCCUUUUAGUUUCUAUUUAUGUAACAGAUCCUAUUGUCCUCACAAUCCUCAGCCUGAAAUCCUUAGUCAUAACUGCCGCUCUCUUCCCUCCACUUGCCACUCACUCCCCAUUUUAUCUGGGUUAAGUCCAUCCAUUAUCCCUUAUAUUUGCUCUGCAACAUCUUGGUAUGUGCCCAGCCCACUUUUUCUGAAUACACUCUCUUCUCAGAAGUGAGCUCUUGGUAAUUUUCUGACCAGUUGCUUAUACCAGGUUUAGGGUUACCAGAUUUAGCAAAUAAAAAUAUAGACAAUUGUCUGACCAGUUGCUUAUAUCUGGCUUAUGGGUACCAGACUUAGCAAAUAAAAAUAUAGGACAUUCAGUUAAAUUAUUUGAACUUCAGAUAAACAAGGAAUAAUCUUUUAGUGUUACAUGGGACCUACACUGAACAUCUGUUUAUCUGUAAUUCCAAUUUAAUUUGGCAUCAUUAUUUUAUCUGGCAAUCUCAGUCAGGUUUAACACCUUUCCCAAGCUGAGCUUGUCAUUUCCUCCAAAAGAACACAAACCUAUAAAGGACAGGUAACGUCCUGUGGGACAGCCAUCCUUUGCCCUAUGCUGAGAAAACAGGUUUGCAGAGAAUAAAAACGAACAAAUAAAUAAACAUUUAAAAAAGCAGUUGUGUGGAAAGAAGCACAAAAGAGAGGCCAUGAGACUCCAUAAUUAAGCAGAGAUGAACUGCCCUAGUUCUUAAUGGCUUGUUAGUCCUCAUUCCAGUCUUCCACAGGGUGUGACUUGGCUUCCAUAAAAUAAACUCACGGUCCCAUGAUCAUUUUCCCUCUUUGCUUUAGCAAGAAUCUUUAACUAAAACAACUCUCUUUUCAUUUCCACUGUCUACCACUCUAGUCUCAACUCUCAUGAGUCUGGAAUUUUGCAAAAGCCUGAUAAACUUGUCACAUGAUUCCAGUGUCUACCCAUUCCUUGUAAGUAACCAAGAUAUUCUUGCCUGAUUAAAUGCUUUGAAAAUAUCAUCUUAGGCCAGGCGCAGUGGCUCACACCUGUAAGCCCAACACUUUGGGAGGCUGAGGUGGGCGGAUCACUUGAUGUCAUGAGUUCGAGACCAGCCUGGCCAAUAUGGUGUAACCCCGUCUCUACUAAAAAUACAAAACUUAGCUGGGUGUAGUGGCGGGCGCCUGUAGUCCCAGCUACUCGGGAGGCUGAGGCAGGAGAAUAGCUUGGACCCGGGAGGUGGAGGUUGCAGGGAGGUGGAGGUUGCAGGGAGGUGGAGGUUGCAGUGAGCUGAGAUCACGCCACUGUGCUACAGCCUGGGCGACACAGUGAGACUCCGUCUCAAAAAAAGAAAAAAAAAAAAAUAUCAUAUUGUAUUGGCCAUCCCUUGUUUCAUAUUCGUUAAUAAACUUUGCUACUUUGCUUUCUAAUUUCGGUGAAGAACAAGCACAAGAUUAAGGAGUAAGACUAUGUGAAACUGGGUUAUAAAUUGAAAGGCUGUUGGCUGUUGUAUCUUGUAAACAAUUCAACGCAAUGCCAAGUGAAAAUGAAGUUGUUAGUCCCUCUAUCUAGAAUUCUUUCCCAAAUAGCUGCAUAUCUUUUUCCUCUGCUUCAUUUAAGUCUGUGCUGAAAUGUUAUCUACUCAGAGAAGACAUUCUGGAUCAUUUCAUAUUAAAUAGUAACUUUUAUCACUCUAUCUCUUUAUCUAGUUGUUUUUCUUUAAGGUACCUACCACUACCUGACAUGUUGUACAGUUAAGUUCUUACUUAAUGUCUUCGAUAGGUUCUUGCAAACUGUAACUCUAAGAUAAACUACAUAAAAUGAAACCAAAUUUACCACAGGCUAAUUGAUAUAAACAAGAGUUAAGAUCCUAUGGCACAUUUCUGGUAAAAAAAAAAAAUUACCAAACUUGCAAAUAAAGACCAAAACAUUUCUGAUGUUAAACACUGAAGUAAAUGUGAGCUAGACAACAUUCAAGAAAGAUGAAUAAAACAAGAUGAUUUAUCAAAUUACAACAGUUCAGGGUUUUGGGUGGUUGGAGCCCAUCCUGGCAGUUCAGGGUGCCAGGUGGGAAGUGAUACUAGACAGGACAGCCAUCACAUUGCAGGGUGCACUCACACACACAUCCACACUCACUCAGACUGGGCAACAAGAGCAAAACUCUGCCUCAAAACAAACAACAAACAAAAUAAAAUAAAUUAUCCAGACUCAGGUAUUUCUUCUUUCUUUUUUGAGAUGGAGUCUCCCUGUGUCACCCAGGCUGGAGUGCAGUGG